rnacentral:rRNA from 1 species
UACAGAGGUCCCAAGCGUUAUCCGGAUUUAUUGGGUUUAAAGGGUGCGUAGGCGGAAUAGUAAGUCAGUGGUGAAAGCCUGUUGCUUAACAACAGAACUGCCAUUGAUACUACUAAUCUUGAGUACAUAUGAUGUGGGCGGAAUGUGCCAUGUAGCGGUGAAAUGCUUAGAUAUGGCACAGAACACCGAUUGCGAAGGCAGCUCACAAAACUGUUACUGACGCUGAGGCACGAAAGCGUGGGGAUCAAACAGG